UUUUGGCAACUACACUGCUGACCUUGUGCUGAGCUCAGGGAGGGAGGUGCAGCAGGCAGACAGGGCCCAGGUAGGGGUGCAGUGGCUGACAGACCUCUGUCUUGGCACAGCCAUUAGGCUCAGGCCCCUGUGUGCGGGCUCAGGUCCCUCCUUCAUCACAGGGUGGUAUUGGCACCAGCCUGGGGGAGCAGUUCAUGGGGCUGGGUGUGCUGGAAGAGACGUGCUGAGAAGUUAGGGACCCCAGGUUCUCUCUGACUUUGUUUUCUGUUUUUAUUUUGCUCACAUAGAUUUGUGAGUUGUUAAAAAAGAAGGGCUCCUGGGGCCAAGAACUCGGAAGAGGGGUGGUAUUUGGGAAAAACAGCCCCAUCCCCCUUGGGUGCCGUGGCCUGGACAAUCCCAGAGCAUCAGCAUACCUGAGUUCAGGAUUGAGCCCAUUAUGGCCGAGAGAGGCCCUGGUCCCCGUCUCAGGAAAGUUGCUCCGAGGCUCCAGGCGCUCUAGGAACCAGAACCCUGGGCUCCACAGCAGGGCCAGGUGUCUCCUCAGGUGCUGUGGUCUCAUCUUAGUGCCACCUCAGCCAGUGUACAACCUUGGGCAAGUCACGCCCCCUCCUGGAGACUCUGAAAAUGGAACAGAAAGGUGUGGUCAUCUGUGUGUUCCUCUGUGAUCUGGAAAUGCUACAACCUUUGCUUCUAAGGCAGGUAGUAGCCAGGCAUGGGGACGGGGCUUCUGUCAGCUCCCCUUUGAUUUUGUAGACCUCUGGCUCUUAGCAAAGAGAUGUCCUAGGAAGGAAGGGCAGUACCUUGGUGAUCCUGUCUUGCACAUAUAGACUGGAGCUUCAGCCCAUUCUCACCUCUCCUUCACCUGAGACCUGUGGCUGCAGAACCAGAAACUCAUUUCCAGAAGCAGCAGAAUGUCUCUCUUUCCGCAGGGCUCAGAAGUAUGUAUUAAGCCUUCCAUUAACUGCAUCUUACUCAGCUGGAAAAAUAAUACUCAGGAUGCAAUUUUAUCUGAUUUCUGGCCUGUAAGCUCCUGAAGGGUUCUCUUAAGAAAGGCUCAAAAAACUCCUGCGCUGUGUGACUCGGAGCCCAGCCCUGUAGCCUCCCUCCAAGGAGCAGGCAGCUCAGUGGUUGACCAGCAAGCCCAUCAUCAUUCAGCACUACUGGGUUAUCCAUCUGUCCGUCUGUCAAUUAAACAAGUGCUUAUGAGGGCCUGGGGCCAGGGGCACAUACCGAGAUUACUAAGACUAAAUAAGACACAGCGUGUGCCCUCCACAGCAGUUCAGGCGCAACCUGACCACUUUCUCUAUUUGGUUAAACUCCAGAAAGUUCUUGACUUUAUUAUUCGCAGUUCAAAAGCAGCAUGAGCUUUUGUGUCUGCUCCCCUUCACCCACUAAGUGUCAUGACGAGCAGGCAGAACGCCCAUAUAGAUGCCACACAUGCUAUGGGUUACGAUAUAGGACAGGAACACCGAGCUUGGGGUAUCCACCAUCUUGUGGCAGACAGCAAGCAAGCCAGCUUUUUGUCUCAGAGAGAAACAUUACCUCAUGUCUCAGGAUUGGUUGCUGCAAACCCAACCCAGGUACAGAGCAGUCAGAGCCUUGCAUUCUUUGUCUACCCAGCAAGAUGUGUAGGAAUGCAAGAAACUCAUGGAGAAGUGUCUCCAAACAAUGCAUUAGCAUUGCACAUGUCUGGAUUUGAAUCCUACGUCUAACAAUUUAAGUGCGAAAUUAAGUGCGAAAUUGGGUAAAUUGCAAUGGCUGAACUUCUCAGCCUCAGUUUCCUCUUCUAUAAGAUGGGGAUAAUGCCUACUUUCCAGGUGACUGUGAAAGAGAGUGUAGGGUCACUCGUCUGGGAACACAGUAGUGAACUAAGAAAGCCCUUGAGUUCAAGAAACUUAGUUGCACGGGGAAUCCUUUCAGCUAUGUAUUAAGUAUGCAAUGCCAGUUAGUCAUGUGUGUGGAAAAGAAUAGAGGAGGCUGGGCACGGUGGCUCAUGCCUGUAAUCCCAGCACUUUGGGAGGCUGAGGCAGGAAAAUUGCUUGAACCCAGGAGGUGAAGGUUGCAGUGAGCCAAGGUCGUGCCACUGCACUCCAGCCUGGGUGACAGAGCGAGACUCUGUCUCAAAAAAAAAAAAAAAAAAAAAAA
rnacentral:lncRNA from 10 species